UACGAAGGGUGCAAGCGUUACUCGGAAUUACUGGGCGUAAAGUGUGCGCAGGCGGCCGCGCAAGUCGAGUGUGAAAGCCCCGGGCUUAGCUUGGGAAUUGCGCUCGAAACUACGUGGCUGGAGUGUGGCAGAGGAAGGUGGAAUUCCAGGUGUAGCGGUGAAAUGCGUAGAGAUCUGGAGGAACACCGAUGGCGAAGGCAGCCUUCUGGGCCAACACUGACGCUCAUGCACGAAAGCGUGGGGAGCAAACAGG
rnacentral:rRNA from 1 species